rnacentral:rRNA from 1 species
UAAUGCUUAGGAAUCUGCCUAUUAGUGGGGGACAACAUUUCGAAAGGAAUGCUAAUACCGCAUACGUCCUACGGGAGAAAGCAGGGGAUCUUCGGACCUUGCGCUAAUANAUGAGCCUAAGUCGGAUUAGCUAGUUGGUGGGGUAAAGGCCUACCAAGGCGACGAUCUGUAGCGGGUCUGAGAGGAUGAUCCGCCACACUGGGACUGAGACACGGCCCANACUCCUACGGGAGGCAGCAGUGGGGAAUAUUGGACAAUGGGCGCAAGCCUGAUCCAGCCAUGCCGCGUGUGUGAAGAAGGCCUUAUGGUUGUAAAGCACUUUAAGCGAGGAGGAGGCUACUCUAGUUAAUACCUAGAGAUAGUGGACGUUACUCGCAGAAUAAGCACCGGCUAACUCUGUGCCAGCAGCCGCGGUAAUACAGAGGGUGCAAGCGUUAAUCGGAUUUACUGGGCGUAAAGCGCGCGUAGGCGGCUAAUUAAGUCAAAUGUGAAAUCCCCGAGCUUAACUUGGGAAUUGCAUUCGAUACUGGUUAGCUAGAGUGUGGGAGAGGAUGGUAGAAUUCCAGGUGUAGCGGUGAAAUGCGUANAGAUCUGGAGGAAUACCGAUGGCGAAGGCAGCCAUCUGGCCUAACACUGACGCUGAGGUGCGAAAGCAUGGGGAGCAAACAGGAUUAGAUACCCUGGUAGUCCAUGCCGUAAACGAUGUCUACUAGCCGUUGGGGCCUUUGAGGCUUUAGUGGCGCANCUAACGCGAUAAGUAGACCGCCUGGGGAGUACGGUCGCAAGACUAAAACUCAAAUGAAUUGACGGGGGCCCGCACAAGCGGUGGAGCAUGUGGUUUAAUUCGAUGCAACGCGAANAACCUUACCUGGCCUUGACAUAGUAAGAACUUUCCAGANAUGGAUUGGUGCCUUCGGGAACUUACAUA